AUAUCUCUCUGUACGGGAAGGAUGAGAAGCUUCGACUAAGGUUCGAUUCGAGCGCAGCGAGAAAGCGUUGCCGCAGGCAACGACCCGAAGGGCGAAGCGCGCAGCGCUGAGCAAUCCUUCCCCCACCACCA
rnacentral:sRNA from 3 species